rnacentral:lncRNA from 1 species
UCUUUGGGCCGAGUAGAUUGGGCCUACGUAUUUGAUUUGUUCAAUUGGGUCCUUAUUAUUGAGUCUUAAAGUUACUGGGCUUAGUCAUUAUAUUAUUUCUGUUGGAUCCUUUUAAGAUCGGGUUGGAUCAGUGGAUCGACCCAUUAGAUAUUUUAAUAUCUUUAUCUUUGACUUGUAAUGAUGAAAAAGGAUGACGGUUGACUAGAACACCUG